rnacentral:lncRNA from 1 species
AUGCUGAAACCAAAGGAAGUGGAGUCCGACUUCCUGUUUUUUUGGCGCUCCGAACAGCAGCGGCGAUUAUCGGAGCAGAACUCUGAUAAACGACCACGUGUGAAUCAUCUCCACGCAUCCCAUCAGAGUCCUGCAGAACCUUUUGGUUCCCCUCCGAUCCAAAGGGCUGUCCUGCUCCAGGGCAGCGUUCCAGCAGGAACUGGUGUCGUCAGCGCCGGCGCCCCCCUCCCGCGGGUUUCCGCCCCUUCUUUAUCUACAGGAAGUGCAGGAAUGAGCGCCGCGGCGCUCCAGCUCACACGCCUUCACUCUCCCAUCGCUGGGUGUUCAGGAUCCACCAUGAAGACCGCCGGCGUUCCCGUCCUGCUCCUGAUGGCGUCCGCACAGGUUCUGGCAACAGCACCUACAGCAACAACAGCAACAGCAACUACAGCAACAGCAACAACAGCAACAGCAACUGAACUGAUAGUUGCCUCGACUUCUGCCGUUGCCGCGGAAACAGCGACGGCACCAACAACCCAACAGGCAACUGAAACUGACGCCACCACGUUGGAUCCAGCAACGGCACCUUCGGCAACGCCCCCGAACUCGGCGCCGCCAGCGGCACCGGCAGCUUCCGCUCAGACGUCCACGGUCCUGACGACCAGCGGAGGGCGGCGGACCGAUAAAACAGCAGCUCCGUCAACCACCAAGCAGACCGUCACCAUGGCAACAGCCACUCCCCACGCUCCAGGAGAGACGAAGAUGACCGACGACAACAAAGGUGUAGCCACUCCCACCACAGGUGGAGCCACUCCCACCACAGCGCCGCCCCUGACGGCCUCUCCAGACAGCGGCGCUGGUUCUCAGACAGGAAGUGACAGGAAAACCGCCCAGUCAGACAAGCAGCUGUGGUGGAUCUUGUUGCCGGCCCUUCUGGUCGUCGCCGCCGCCGCCGCCAUUUACCUCAAGUUCCGGAGCAAGAAGGUCCACGGCCAGACAGAAAUCAUGGACACGGGAAUGGAGAACGCGUCCUUCCAGAGCCGACCCGAGAGCGCCAAAGAUGGCGUCAUGCUGCUCGGCGUGAAGUCAUCGGCCGGGGACGAGAACGCUGCUGCGAGAUGAAGAGGAGAAGUGAUGAAGAGGAGAAGAAGUGAUGAAGAGGAGAAGAAGUGAUGAAGAGGAGAAGAGGAGAGGAAGAGGAGCAGCAGCGUCGCU